UCCGUUGUCUUCUAGUGUUAUCCGGAUUUAUUGGGUUUAAAGGGAGCGCAGACGGGGGAUUAAGUCAGUUGUGAAAGUUUGGGGCUCAACCUUAAAAUUGCAGUUGAUACUGGUCCUCUUGAGUGCAGUUGAGGCAGGCGGAAUUCGUGGUGUAGCGGUGAAAUGCUUAGAUAUCACGAAGAACCCCGAUUGCGAAGGCAGCUUGCUAAACUGUAACUGACGUUCAUGCUCGAAAGUGUGGGUAUCAAACAGG
rnacentral:rRNA from 1 species